rnacentral:rRNA from 1 species
CCUACGGGAGGCAGCAGUGGGGAAUAUUGCACAAUGGGGGCAACCCUGAUGCAGCGACGCCGCGUGAGUGAAGAAGUAUUUCGGUACGUAAAGCUCUAUCAGCAGGGAAGAAAAUGACGGUACCUGACUAAGAAGCCCCGGCUAACUACGUGCCAGCAGCCGCGGUAAUACGUAGGGGGCAGGCGUUAGCCGGAUUUACUGGGUGGAAAGGGAGCGUAGACGGCGGCGCAAGUCUGGAGUGAAAUCCCAUGGCUUAACCAUGGACCUGCUUGGGAGACUGUGCAGCGAGAGUGCAGGAGAGGUGAGCGGAAUUCCUAGUGUAGCGGUGAAAUGCGUAGAUAUUAGGAGGAACACCAGUGGCGAAGGCGGCUUACUGGACUGUAACUGACGUUGAGGCUCGAAAGCGUGGGGAGCAAACAGGAUUAGAUACCCUAGUAGUC